AGUCAUAUACGGCGAAACUGCGAACGGCUCAUUAAAACAGUUAUAAUUUAUUUGAUAAUGUUCUUAUAUGGAUAACCAUUUUGGGAAACUAUGGCUAAUACAUGCACAAAGACCUUCGGGUUGUAUUUAUUAGUUUUGACCAAUCUCUGAUUGUGAUGAGUCAUAAUAACUGAUCGAAGCGCACUUGUGUGCGCUAAAUCUUUCAAGUAUCUGCCCUAUCAGAUUGUUGGUAGUGUAUUGGACUACCAAGUCGAUCACGGGUAACGGAGAAUUAGGGUUCGAUUCCGGAGAGGGAGCCUGAGAAACGGCUACCACAGCUACGGUAGGCAGCAGGUGCGUAAAUUACCCAAUCCAAAAUCUGGAAGGUAGUUACAGGAAAUUUGUUGCAUGGGGUUCUACCCCAGACACAAACGAACACAUGUAAGUAUUGUGUGUUUAAUUGGAGGGCAAGUUUUGGUGCCAGCAGCCGCGGUAAUUCCAACUCCAAGAGUGUAUCUUAAUGUUGCUGCAGUUAAAAAGCUCGUAGUUGAACCUCUGGCUAGUGAGGGCCCGCAUGGGCCGUUCGCUAGUCAUCCGCUCGGAGAAGCAGUAUUUCCUUAACCGGUUUUACUGUAGACCCAGCAUUUUACUUUGAAGAAAUUAGAGUGUUCCUGGCAGGCCUAGCUUGCAUAUAUUAGCAUGGAAUAAUGGAAUAGGACCUUGUCUGUUUUAUUGGUUGACAGAUAGGUAAUGAUUAACAGGGACAGUCGGGGGCAUUCGUACUCAGUGGCUAGAGGUGAAAUUCUUAGAUUCGCUGAAGACGCACUAAUG
rnacentral:rRNA from 1 species